GCGCCCAUAGCUCAGGGGUUAGAGCACAACGCUUAUAACGUUGGGGUCGAUGGUUCAAAACCAUCUGGGCGCA
rnacentral:tRNA from 1 species